rnacentral:lncRNA from 1 species
GAUGAGAAGGAGAAGUGGAUAAAAAAGAAAUGGAGGAGAAAGGAGGGGUGGAGAAAGAGGAGGAGAAAGAGAAGGAGGAGAAUGGGUAGAGAAAGAAGAAGAGAAAGGAGAAUGAAAAAAGAGGAGGAAGGGGGGGAGGAGAAAUGGGUGAAAAGGAAGAGGAGGAAGAGAAAGGAGAGAAGGAAGGAAGAGGGAGAAAGAGGGACACCAACAAUGAAGGAGGAGGG